rnacentral:rRNA from 1 species
AUUGAACGCUGGCGGCAUGCUUUACACAUGCAAGUCGAACGGCAGCGCGGGCUUCGGCCUGGCGGCGAGUGGCGAACGGGUGAGUAAUGCAUCGGAACGUGCCCAGUAGUGGGGGAUAGCCCGGCGAAAGCCGGAUUAAUACCGCAUACGACCUGAGGGUGAAAGCGGGGGACCGAAAGGCCUCGCGCUAUUGGAGCGGCCGAUGUCGGAUUAGCUAGUUGGUGGGGUAAAGGCUUACCAAGGCGACGAUCCGUAGCUGGUCUGAGAGGACGACCAGCCACACUGGGACUGAGACACGGCCCAGACUCCUACGGGAGGCAGCAGUGGGGAAUUUUGGACAAUGGGGGCAACCCUGAUCCAGCCAUGCCGCGUGCGGGAAGAAGGCCUUCGGGUUGCAAACCGCUUUUGUUCGGGAAGAAAUCCUCUGGGCUAAUACCCCGGGGGGAUGACGGUACCGGAAGAAUAAGCACCGGCUAACUACGU